rnacentral:rRNA from 1 species
AUUGAACGCUGGCGGCAGGCCUAACACAUGCAAGUCGAGCGGAUGAAGGGAGCUUGCUCCUGGAUUUAGCGGCGGACGGGUGAGUAAUGCCUAGGAAUCUGCCUGGUAGUGGGGGAUAACGUCCGGAAACGGGCGCUAAUACCGCAUACGUCCUGAGGGAGAAAGUGGGGGAUCUUCGGACCUCACGCUAUCAGAUGAGCCUAGGUCGGAUUAGCUAGUUGGUGGGGUAAGGGCCUACCAAGGCGACGAUCCGUAACUGGUCUGAGAGGAUGAUCAGUCACACUGGAACUGAGACACGGUCCAGACUCCUACGGGAGGCAGCAGUGGGGAAUAUUGGACAAUGGGCGAAAGCCUGAUCCAGCCAUGCCGCGUGUGUGAAGAAGGUCUUCGGACUGUAAAGCACUUUAAGUUGGGAGGAAGGGCAGUAAGUUAAUACCUUGCUGUUUUGACGUUACCAACAGAAUAAGCACCGGCUAACUUCGUG